CCUACGGGAGGCAGCAGUGAGGAAUAUUGGUCAAUGGACGAGAGUCUGAACCAGCCAAGUAGCGUGAAGGAUGACUGCCCUAUGGGUUGUAAACUUCUUUUAUAUGGGAAUAAAAUGUUCCACGUGUGGGAUUUUGUAUGUACCAUAUGAAUAAGGCUCGGCUAACUCCGUGCCAGCAGCCGCGGUAAUACGGAGGAUCCGAGCGUUAUCCGGAUUUAUUGGGUUUAAAGGGAGCGUAGGUGGAUUGUUAAGUCAGGUGUGAAAGUUUGCGGCUCAACCGUAAAAUUGCCGUUGAAACUGGCAGUCUUGAGUACAGUAGAGGUAGGCGGAAUUCGUGGUGUAGCGGUGAAAUGCUUAGAUAUCACGAAGAACUCCGAUUGCGAAGGCAGUUCACUGGACUGCAACUGACGCUGAGGCUCGAAAGUGUGGGUAUCAAACAGGAUUAGAUACCCCAGUAGUC
rnacentral:rRNA from 1 species